rnacentral:rRNA from 1 species
CGGAGCUAACGCGUUAAGUCGACCGCCUGGGGAGUACGGCCGCAAGGUUAAAACUCAAAUGAAUUGACGGGGGCCCGCACAAGCGGUGGAGCAUGUGGUUUAAUUCGAUGCAACGCGAAGAACCUUACCUGGUCUUGACAUCCACGGAAGUUUUCAGAGAUGAGAAUGUGCCUUCGGGAACCGUGAGACAGGUGCUGCAUGGCUGUCGUCAGCUCGUGUUGUGAAAUGUUGGGUUAAGUCCCGCAACGAGCGCAACCCUUAUCCUUUGUUGCCAGCGGUCCGGCCGGGAACUCAAAGGAGACUGCCAGUGAUAAACUGGAGGAAGGUGGGGAUGACGUCAAGUCAUCAUGGCCCUUACGACCAGGGCUACACACGUGCUACAAUGGCGCAUACAAAGAGAAGCGACCUCGCGAGAGCAAGCGGACCUCAUAAAGUGCGUCGUAGUCCGGAUUGGAGUCUGCAACUCGACUCCAUGAAGUCGGAAUCGCUAGUAAUCGUGGAUCAGAAUGCCACGGUGAAUACGUUCCCGGGCCUUGUACACACCGCCCGUCACACCAUGGGAGUGGGUUGCAAAAGAAGUAGGUAGCUUAACCUUCGGGAGGGCGCUUACCACUUUGUGAUUCAUGACUGGGGUGAAGUCGUAACAAGGUAACCGUAGGGGAACCUGCGGUUG